AAUCCGUGGUUUGGGCACUUCUGAAUCAACGUUUUAAACCGUUCCCAAGCUUCAUAAAAAAUUUCUCUUUCCAUCUAUCUAAAGACAACAAUUUCUCUUCUAAGUUG
rfam:Gossypium arboreum cultivar AKA8401 contig_26920_3, whole genome shotgun sequence.